AAGUCUGGUGCCAGCAGCCGCGGUAAUUCCAGCUCCAAUAGCGUAUAUUAAAGUUGUUGCAGUUAAAAAGCUCGUAGUUGAAUUUCGGGGUUAGUAGGCUGGUCAUGCCACCGGUAUGUACUGGUCUUUCUGAUUCCUCCUUCCUGAUGAACUGUAAUGCCAUUAAUUUGGUGUUGCAGGGAAUCUGGACUGUUACUUUGAAAAAAUUAGAGUGUUUAAAGCAGGCUAACGCUUGAAUACAUUAGCAUGGAAUAAUGAAAUAGGACGUUCGAUCCUAUUUUGUUGGUUUCUAGGAUUGACGUAAUGAUUAAUAGGGAUAGUUGGGGGCAUUAGUAUUCAAUUGUCAGAGGUGAAAUUCUUGGAUUUAUUGAAGACUAACUACUGCGAAAGCAUUUGCCAAGGAUGUUUUCAUUAAUCAAGAACGAAAGUUAGGGGAUCGAAGACGAUCAGAUACCGUCGUAGUCUUAACCAUAAACUAUGCCGACUAGGGAUCGGAUGAUGUUAAUUUUUUAAUGACUCAUUCGGCGCCUUACGGGAAACCAAAGUGUUUGGGU
rnacentral:rRNA from 1 species